CCCUCCCCUCAGUCUCUCAUCGUCUCCAAAACCCUAGCGCCGCCCUAAAAGUCUCCAUCCUCUUCGCUGGCGGCGAACCACCCAAUCAACCCCAAACUCCUCCUCCACAAUCCCCACACCCCAUUGAAUAUGUAUCCCACAUGAAUUUCCCCAAAAUCCUCACCCACUUAUCCCAAUUUCAAAUCUGAAAUCGGAAACCCUAAUUUGCUUUCUUUUCAGAAAUUAAAGUGGUUUUAGGGUUUCGAUUUGAGUUCAAGUUUAUGCUGAUCAAUUGUUCUUCUCAUUUCAAACCCCGUUGAAACUCUGAACAUGGACAAGAUGUCUCUCACUGUUGGUUUAUGCAUAAAUGGUAGAUUUCACCAUUAUUUCUUCAUUUCUCUGGUGAGUCAGUUGAUUUCUCAUUUUUGUUUAGUCUAUAAUUUAAUUGUGUUCAUCUGAGGGUCGUUCCUAUUUUAAUACUUUAAUUAGGUUUAAUUAGGUAUUGGUUAGACUUAGUAAUUUGGUUUAAUUCUAGCUUCUUUAGGUUAGUCUAAUAAAUUGCUUGUUCAGUCAUGCUGUUGAUUUUGAAAUCAUUUGGUUCUGGAUUUGCAUCUUCUUCUUCUUUUCAUAAACCACUGAAAUUGGUUUUGGGUUUGGGUCACUUCGUCUGAUUGGGCUUUUGGCCACCUUUGACCCGUUUCAAAGAAGCCCAGUCAUUUGAUUUGGGUUUUGGUUUAGUUCGACCCAUGAGCUGAGAUUUACUGAAGGUAAAUAACAGUCUUUCAGAGGGUAGUUUAGGGAAUUAGUCAGGGGAAAUAUUUCUUAACUGCUUGAGGAAAUUUUCAGGAAGGUGGGAUUGGGGUUGGUUUAGCAAACAAGCUCUAAAUUCAGAGUUUGAAAUGACAAAUGAAAAUUGGGGGAAGGGGUAAUAUUAAAAUCAGUUCUGUUGCCCUAGGUCUUUCUAUAUAAGGUUUGUUUCUUUCAUUGUGAGGGCAGAGAUUGAAAGAUUACAAAAGAGCUAGGAAACAGCUGAGAAUAACAAGCACCAUUUUUUUCUGCAAUUAGAACACUGAAAUAUAUAGAGUUUGAUAAUUAGAAAAACACAGAAAAUCAAGCAUUGUACCAUUGCAGCUGGGCUUUUCACUUUUUUGGGUUUCUUAUAAGCUUAAAUAUUUUCUGGUUUCAAAGCAUGGUGGUGGAUGGAUGAUAACUGUUGUCUAAGAGUUGCUGACAUUUCGAUUCAUUUGUUUAAGUUUUGUUGGUGAUUUCUUAUUGUUCCACGUAUAUUCAUGAGCUUGAAGUGAUAACAUGGACUUGUAAACUGCUGAUUUUGAAUGGGAUUCUUGUUCGUUUGGCUAAAUGUUUUCUUUCCUUUUGUUCACGAUAUUGCUUCAAUUUUGUUUAAAGUAUUAUCAAUGCUGAUUUAGUAUAGAUAGAUGAUUUAACACUUAGGUUGUUUUAGUUUAUCAUAAAUGGUUAACAAUCUGUUAUACUUAGUAGUAAUUAUUUGGGACUAUUUCUUUCAAAGGUUGAUUUGGAUGAAAGUUCAGCUCUUGUUUGUAAGUGUGAUGAUAGAUGUGGAUAUUAUAAGGUUGAUCUUUGAGUGAAUUUCAGAAGGUGAACUCUUAGUGUGAUUAAUGUCAUGUUUAUUGGAAUCACUGUGAGAUUAACAAGUAGUUUUCAUAAUUUAGAAUCAUGUGGUUGGAAUAGAUAGUAACAAUGAUCAAAAGGCCUUCAAUGAUCAAUGCAUUACAAGUUUAGGAUUGUUGGUUUAGCACGUCUGAUAGCAUGAAUGGUCAUGGGUUAGAGGUUCAGUUGUUUAAAGUGUUGUAACAUAUUUUAAUUCCUUAUGUAAAGAGGUUUCA
rnacentral:lncRNA from 1 species